rnacentral:rRNA from 1 species
GUGAGGAAUAUUGGACAAUGGGUGAAAGCCUGAUCCAGCCAUCCCGCGUGAAGGAUGACGGUCCUAUGGAUUGUAAACUUCUUUUGUACAGGGAUAAACCUUCCUACGUGUAGGAAGCUGAAGGUACUGUACGAAUAAGCACCGGCUAACUCCGUGCCAGCAGCCGCGGUAAUACGGAGGGUGCAAGCGUUAUCCGGAUUUAUUGGGUUUAAAGGGUCCGUAGGCGGGCCGAUAAGUCAGUGGUGAAAUCUCAUAGCUCAACUAUGAAACUGCCGUUGAUACUGUCGGUCUUGAGUAAAUUUGAAGUGGCUGGAAUAAGUAGUGUAGCGGUGAAAUGCAUAGAUAUUACUUAGAACACCAAUUGCGAAGGCAGGUCACUAAGAUUUAACUGACGCUGAGGGACGAAAGCGUGGGGAGCGAACAGGAUUAGAAACCCUAGUAGUCC